AUUCCCGUGCAGUGGCAGUACCAUAGCCAAUGAGGGUUAUCCCAGGCACAAUUAUUGCUAAUUGAAAACUUUUCCCAAUACCCCGCUGUGAUAACUUGAUGUUGUAUAUUUAAAUGAGUAUAAAUUACC
ensembl:snRNA U4 U4 spliceosomal RNA